UGUAAGCGUAUACCAAAGUUGUUGCAGUUAAAACGCUCGUAGUCGGACUUUGGCAGUUCCGGAUGUGUGCACGUCGUGUGCGCACUUCGCGGGGAUUGCUUUUGUGGUCUUGCGUAGGAUGAGGCACUUUUAUUAGUGAACGUCCUCACGCAACCACUUUUUACUGUGAGAAAAUCAGAGUGCUCAAAGCAGGCAUUUGCCGUGAAUGUAUUAGCAUGGAAUAAUAGAAUAGGACUUGGUUCUAUUUUGUUGGUUUGUUGGGACUGAGUAAUGACUAAGAGGGACAGUUGGGGGCAUUUGUAUUUCGGUGCUAGAGGUGAAAUUCUUAGAUUACCGAAAGACAAACUGCUGCGAAAGCGUCUGCCAAGGAUGUUUUCAUUGA
rnacentral:rRNA from 1 species